ACAGAGGCCUCGAGCGUUAGGCGGAAUCACUGGGCUUAAAGCGUGUGUAGGUGGAUGCCUAAGUACCUUGUGAAAUCCCACGGCUUAACCGUGGAAUUGCUCGGUAUACUGGGCGUCUUGAGCCACUCAGGGGCUACCGGAACAAACGGUGGAGCGGUGAAAUGCGUAGAUAUCGAGAGGAACACCUGCGGCGAAGGCGGGUUGCUGGGCUGACACUGACGCUGAACUGCGAAAGCUAGGGGAGCGAACGGGA
rnacentral:rRNA from 1 species